rnacentral:rRNA from 1 species
GGAUUCCCCUAGUAACUGCGAGUGAAGCGGGAAAAGCUCAAAUUUAAAAUCUGGCAGUUCUUGAAGCUGUCCGAGUUGUAAUUUAGAGAAGCGUUAUCCGUGCUGGACCGUGUACAAGUCUCCUGGAACGGAGCGUCAUAGAGGGUGAGAAUCCCGUACAUGACACGGACUCCCAGUGCUUUUGUGAUACGCUCUCAAAGAGUCGAGUUGUUUGGGAAUGCAGCUCAAAAUGGGUGGUAAAUUCCAUCUAAAGCUAAAUACAGGCGAGAGACCGAUAGCGAACAAGUACCGUGAGGGAAAGAUGAAAAGAACUUUGGAAAGAGAGUUAAACAGUACGUGAAAUUGUUGAAAGGGAAACGCUUGAAGUCAGUCGCGUUGUUCAGGGAUCAGCCUUGCUUUGCUUGGUGUACUUCCUGUUCAACGGGUCAGCAUCAGCUUUGACCGCUGGAAAAAGUUCAUAGGAAUGUGACAUCUUCGGAUGUGUUAUAGCCCAUGUUCGUAUACAGCGGUUGGGACUGAGGACUCAGCACUCGAUGCUUGGGAUGCUGGCAUAAUGGCUUUAAGCGACCCGUCUUGAAACACGGACCAAGGAGUCUAACAUGCCCGCGAGUGUUUGGGUGGAAAACCCGAGCGCGCAAUGAAAGUGAAAAGUUGGGAUCUCUGUCGUGGAGAGCACUGACGCCCGGACCUGAUGUUUUCGGACGGUUCUGCGGUAGAGCGUGUAUGUUGGGACCCGAAAGAUGGUGAACUAUGCCUGAAUAGGGCGAAGCCAGAGGAAACUCUGGUGGAGGCUCGUAGCGAUUCUGACGUGCAAAUCGAUCGUCGAAUUUGGGUAUAGGGG